AAAUCAGGAAUGAAAAUCCACGUCUAAGGUGGUAACUCAAUAUCUAAAGUCGAUUUACCAUUUUUAAGAUUUGUAAGACAAGAACGGACUUCAUUAGUAGAUCUAACUAAAUAAAAGUUACAAUUAUGUGUCUGUUAAAUUUGAGGAAAUUAAAAAAAAAAUUGAGUGGAAUUAAAAUGGACUUUUUUUAUUUAUUUUUAUUUUUUAUGAAUGAAAUAAGAAGAGAUACUGUAAAUAGGAAAAUGUUGGGGAAAAUUAUGAUUUUAGAUCAUAUUUUGUAGCUCACAUGAU
rnacentral:lncRNA from 1 species